rnacentral:rRNA from 1 species
AGAUUGAACGCUGGCGGCAUGCUUUACACAUGCAAGUCGAACGGCAGCACGGGGGCAACCCUGGUGGCGAGUGGCGAACGGGUGAGUAAUGCAUCGGAACGUAUCUUUAAGUGGGGGAUAACGCAUCGAAAGAUGCGCUAAUACCGCAUAAUCUCCGAGGAGAAAAGCGAGGGGAUCGCAAGACCUUGCGCUUUUGGAGCGGCCGAUGUCUGAUUAGCUUGUUGGUGAGGUAAGCUUACCAAGGCUUCGAUCAGUAGCGUGGUCUGAGAGACGACGAGCCACACUGGACUGAGACGACGCCCAGACUCCGUACGGGAGGACAACAGGU